UACGAAGGGGGCUAGCGUUGCUCGGAAUCACUGGGCGUAAAGGGCGCGUAGGCGGGUCUUUAAGUCGGGGGUGAAAGCCCAGGGCUCAACCCUGGAAUUGCCUUCGAUACUGAAGAUCUCGAGACCGGAAGAGGUAAGUGGAACUGCGAGUGUAGAGGUGAAAUUCGUAGAUAUUCGCAAGAACACCAGUGGCGAAGGCGGCUUACUGGUCCGGUUCUGACGCUGAGGCGCGAAAGCGUGGGGAGCAAACAGG
rnacentral:rRNA from 1 species